rnacentral:rRNA from 1 species
UGGGGAAUAUUGCACAAUGGGCGCAAGCCUGAUGCAGCAACGCCGCGUGAGCGAAGAAGGUCUUCGGAUCGUAAAGCUCUGUCCUUGAGGAAGAAGGAAGUGACGGUACUCAAGGAGGAAGCCCCGGCUAACUACGUGCCAGCAGCCGCGGUAAUACGUAGGGGGCAAGCGUUAUCCGGAAUUAUUGGGCGUAAAGAGUACGUAGGUGGUUUUGUAAGCGCGGGGUGAAAGGCAGUGGCUUAACCAUUGUAAGCCUUGCGAACUGCAAGACUUGAGUGCAGGAGAGGAAAGCGGAAUUCCUAG